GAUGAACGCUGGCGGCGUGCUUAACACAUGCAAGUCGAGCGGAAAGACGCGGCGCUUGCUCGUCGGACGUUAGCGGCGGGCGUGAGUGUAACAAGUGUAUACCCUACCUGUAGGUCUGGGAUAACUACGGGAAACAGGAGCUAAUACCAGAUAAUCUAUUGAACCGCAUGGUGCAAUAGUGAGAGACGGUUUUGCUGUCACUUAUAGAUGGAUCAGCGCGGCAUUAGCUAGUUGGUAAGGUAACGGCUUACCAAGGCGACGAUGCGUAGCCGACCUGAGAGGGUGAUCGGCCACACUGGAACUGAGACACGGUCCAGACUCCUACGGGAGGCAGCAGUAGGGAAUCUUCCGCAAUGGGCGAAAGCCUGACGGAGCAAUGCCGCGUGAGUGAUGAAGGUCUUCGGGUCGUAAAACUCUGUUGUUAGGGAAGAACAAAUGUGGAAGUAACUAUGCACGUCUUGACGGUACCGAAUCAGAAAGCCACGGCUAACUACGUG
rnacentral:rRNA from 1 species